UACGUAGGGUGCGAGCGUUGUCCGGAAUUACUGGGCGUAAAGAGCUCGUAGGUGGUUUGUCGCGUUGUUCGUGAAAACUCACAGCUCAACUGUGGGCGUGCGGGCGAUACGGGGCAGACUAGAGUACUGCAGGGGAGACUGGAAUUCCUGGUGUAGCGGUGGAAUGCGCAGAUAUCGGGAGGAACACCAGUGGCGAAGGCGACUACCUGGCCUGUUCUUGACGCUGAGGCGCGAAAAGCUAGGGGAGCAAACGGGG
rnacentral:rRNA from 1 species